rnacentral:rRNA from 1 species
ACGUAGGAGGCGAGCGUUAUCCGGAUUUACUGGGCGUAAAGCGUGCGCAGGCGGUUUUGUAAGACAGAGGUGAAAUCCCCGGGCUCAACCUGGGAACUGCCUUUGUGACUGCAAGGCUGGAGUGCGGCAGAGGGGGAUGGAAUUCCGCGUGUAGCAGUGGAAUGCGUAGAUAUGCGGAGGGACACCGAUGGCGAAGGCAAUCCCCUGGGCCUGCACAGACGCUCAUGCACGAAAGCGUGGGGAGCAAACAG